rnacentral:rRNA from 1 species
AACGAACGCUGGCGGCAUGCUUAACACAUGCAAGUCGAACGAGAAGCCAGGGCUUGCCUUGGUGGAAAGUGGCGCACGGGUGAGUAACACGUGGAUAACGUGCCCUUCGGCUCGGAAUAACUUGAGGAAACUCGGGCUAAUACCGAAUACGCUCAUUUCUUCUUCGGGAGAGAUGAAGAAAGGUUUACUACCGAAGGAUCGGUCCGCGUCCCAUCAGCUUGUUGGUGAGGUAACGGCUCACCAAGGCUACGACGGGUAGCUGGUCUGAGAGGAUGAUCAGCCACACUGGGACUGAGACACGGCCCAG